GAGAUAAGAUGUAUCAGGCUGUGGUAUAAGGGUUACACAUUAUUCAAAUUAUGACUGGUCUCAUUUUAGCAAUUAUAUAUGGUAAGACUGAACAGUUGGAAGGUUUAUUAAAAAUUAGUUGUGUUAAAUUUUAAAAAUCCAAACAGCUAUUUCAGCAAUAUUUUUCUGAGUUGAAAAAACAUAUUUUUAGUUUCAACUAAACAGUUCUCAGUCAUUCUCUGUUACUUUUUGUCAUUGUACUCAAAAUAUUAGAUAAGCAUCCCUUGAUCUGCAGAUUUCCCAGAAAGCCUUCGGGCAUUAGACACUUUUGCACCAUAAGUAGAGUUACUAACUGAGAGAAGUCCUGCCUGUGGGAACUUACUUAACAUUAAAGGAAAAGGUAUUAAUCUUUCUGAAAGACUGGACACUUGUAGGUUAUCAAGAAAUAAGCUGUAUUAACUGACUUGUAUUUUCUGAGCUGAUAGAACUCAACAGUCCCCAUCCCUUUUUUGUUGGUGCUGGUUCCAUGAGUGAAAUUCCCCAUUCAAGGCCCCAUAGACAUUCUUUAAAAUCCUUAUUACAAUGCUUUUAAUGCAUGAACCAAGCUUAAGUGCUACCUGAGUACUCAUGACUACAAAACGUUGGAUUUUUUGCAAAAAAUGAAGAAAAGGGCAAAGGUACAAGACUGUACAUAUUGCUUUACAAGGAGGAAAGAACUACAUAUCCCACAAUCAAAUGUGAUUCUUUUUUUUUUUUUUGUUAAUAACAGCUUUUCAAGCUUUCAAACCACAUAUGAGCCUUUUUUCUCCACUAAUCUUUAUUGAAGUGAUUAUAUUGAGAUGACAGUGUCAUAGUUUGAGCUUUCCUUGCUUCAUACUGCAACAGCAUGUACUAUCCUCAUUAUCUGUUUAUUUUGCUGUCAGGUAGGAGGGGCAGUGGGACACAACUGCAGACAACAGGUUUCUAAAAGUUAUCCUAGAAGGAUAACCACUAAAUCGCAAGCGAUAAAUGGGAAAAGGGGGGGAACAAAAGCUCCAGAAAACUAGCCCACAACCAAAAAAACUCCCGUUCUUGACAAUACUGAGAAAAGGGGAAACUAAACCACUUCUGCCGUGCAGCUGAAAUGAACACAAACUAGUAGGGAGACUGAGAAAUCUAUCUUCAGAUGAAAGAAAACAAAGAUCAUCAGACUGGUGUGAAAAGGAGAACCAAAACACUGGUUAAUGCUUUCCAGCACAAUAAUCUUAAUCCAGUGGCAACUGGUUAUUCUCAUAGAACGUAGACAAGUAAUAUAUUACACAAAGCUUAGGUGACCUUUAACUUUCACACUCUCAAGAAAGAACACAGGGAGAUGCUCUCAAUACCUCUGAUGGUGAGAUAAUGAGUCAGCACAGAGUGCUGCAGCCCAGGAAUGUAUAUAAGUUUGCCACACCUGGCCCCAAUCAGUGGCAAACAGCCACAUACACCUAGUGGUGCGGUGAUUGAUCCACACCUGGCACUGCCCUGAUUGACACACACCUGGCACUGCCCUGAUUGACACACACCUGGCACUGCACUGAUUGACACACACCUGGCACUGCACUGAUUGACCCCCACCUGGCACUGCCCUGAUUGACACACACCUGGCACUGCACUGAUUGACCCCCACCUGGCACUGCCCUGAUUGACACACACCUGGCACUGCACUGAUUGACACACUCAGUGAGUUGCCAGGCUGAUUGUCCUCACAUUUUGCAAAUAAACAUGUGUUUUUUGAGGUUGAAAUAUUGCAAACUUGUCUCAUAUACAUCAUCCUUUUAAGCUCAGCUUGUGAAUCCGGGCAGGAACAAAAGCACCCUGGUUUUAAGAUUGAAAGACUGGUUGUUACGCAAGGAGAGAAUUCAGUUUACGCAGGGAAAAAAGAGAACAAUUUUUAGGACUAUGACGUAGUUACGUCUUUGAAUGACACAUGCCUGCUAUGGAAAAGUCUUCAGACUCACAGUAAGUGCAACUCUUCAGUCAUUUAAAAAGUCUCUACUUUGGCACCAGAUACCAUAGUUUUUAUAUGAAUGCCUCAUUGUUUAUGGUUUAUUUUUUCACUGAGACACAAGGACACAAACCAUGUUUCCAAGAAGUUUCAUCGCAAGAGCCUCUCACCACUCUGACUUAAGAGUUUGGGUUGAAGCACAGAUGUGUGCUUACUACCAGGCAUUUCUGCCUGUCGCCACCUCCACCAGUGCCAUUGGGCUUAUCUAAAUCUAUACAAAGAAAGCAUAGAAGCUAUUCUCCUCAUGGUCCGUAUGUCCCCCUCCUGCUGCUGCUGCUUGUUUGCGGUCAGAGAGGGGCUCAUGGUCUGGCCUGCCCCCGAGGAGAGAGUGUGGCUCGAGGUGUCAGAUGGAGCGGGACAGCCCAGAUCCUCCAGCACCCAGCUCCUGUACCAGGCCUCUGGGAGAAAGCACCACUUUACCCUGGGACGCCUUCUUCCAGGUCACCUGAAAGUUCAUAAAGGUUCUGUGAUCAGUGCUCCUGAACAUACACACAAUAGUAAUACUAAGUAAAAUCAACUAUAAAUCUAGAUGGAAUAUUUAACAGUGGCUUUCGAUUAGGUAUAUCUUUGUGUUAUCCAAAGGUCUAAAGACUAUUAUUGGAUUCCAGGCGUUUCUCAUCUCAAACUCUGUCUUAAAUAAUUUCUGUGCAGAAAUGAAUGCUGGGACAGUUUCAGCUUGCUGCAGUCUUUCCUCCUGGUUCAUGCUUCAUUAAAGGGCCUCCUACAUGUCCCUCCAAUGUAAAGGAUGAUACACUCAACUAUGAGUUAACUGUGUUCACAUGGCAACUGGUUAUUUUUGGAGAACAGUCCUCAAAAUGAUGGAGCUAUCCUUGAAGCUUUAGCCUGUGUAUGCACAUGUCUUCUUUGGAAGCAAAAUGCUCAUUAAAAGUUGGA